rnacentral:rRNA from 1 species
GGUUCGAUUCUGCUCAGAUUGAACGCUGGCGGAUGCUUUACACAUGCAAGUCGAACGGCAGCACGGACUUCGGUCUGGUGGAGUGAGUGGCGAACGGUGAGUAAUGUAUCGGAACGCGCCUAGCGGGGGAUAACUACGCGAAAGCGUAGCUAAUACUGCAUACGCCCUUCGGGGGAAAGCGGGGGGACCUUUCGGGCCUCGCACUAUUAGAGCGCCGAUAUCGGAUUAGCUAAAUAGGUAACGGCCACUCAAGGCGCGACGAUCCGUAGCCGGUUUGAGAGGACGUAAUCAGCCACACUGAAUUGGAGACACGGCCCAGACUCCUACGGGAGGCAGUGGGGAAUUUUGACAAUGUGGGGGAAACCCUGAUCCAGCCAUCUUCCGCGGGCAUAGCCUUCGGGUUGAAAAGCACUUUUUGGCAGGAAAGAAACGGCACGGAUAAUACCCCGUGCAACUGACGGUACUCUGCAGAAUACACUGGCUAACUACGUGCCAGCAGCCGCGGUAAUACGUAGGGUGGCAAGACCGGAAUUACCAAGUAAGCGUGGCAGGCGGUUCGGAAAGAAAGAUGUGAAAUCCCAGAGCUUAACUUUGGAACUGCAUUUUUAACUACCGAGCUAGAGUGUGUCAGGAGGGAGGUGGAAUUCCGCGUAGCAGUGAAAUGCGGAUGCGGAGGAACACCGAUGGCGAAGGCAGCCUCUCCCGAUAACACUGACGCCUCGAGUGCACGAAAGCGUACAAACAGGAUUAGAUACCCUGGUAGUCCACGCCCUAAACGAUGUCAAUUAGCUGUUGGGGCCUUUCGGGCCCAGAAGCAGCUAACGGGGUGCGAAGUUGACCGCCUGGGGAGUACGGUCGCAAGAUUAAAAACUCAAAGGAAUUGACGGGGACUCGCACGCCGGUGGAUGAUGUGGACACCUGGAUGCAACGCGAAAACCUACCUACCCUUGACAUGUCUGGAAUCCCGAAAGAGAUUGGGAGUGUUUUCGUAAGAGAACUGGAACACAGGUGUUGUAUGGCUGUCGCUCGCUCGUGUCGAGAUGUUGUUAAGUCCCGCAACGAGCGCAAACUCCUUUGUCAUUAUUACAUGAAAGGCACUUAAUGAGACUGCCGGUGACAAACCGGAGGAAGGUGGGGGAUGACGCCGUAAGUCCUUGCUGCCCCAAGGCGGGUAGCUCUGACAUCGUCAUACAAUGGUCGGGACAGAGGGUCGUCAACCGCGAGUGGGGAGCCAAUCCCAGAAACCCGAUCGUGGAACCGAUCGCAGUCUGCAAAUCUCCGACUGCGUGAAGUCGAAUCGCUAGUAAUCGCGGAUCAGCAUGUCGCGGUGAAUACGUUCCCGGGUCUUGUACACACACCGCCCGUCACACCAUGGGAAAGUGGGGUUUUACCAGAAGUAUGUUAGCCCACCGUAAGUGAGGCAUUACCACGGUAGGAUUCAUGACUGGGGUGAAGUCGUGGAAUAAGCAA